AAAAAAAAGUGACAGUGUAACUGAGAAAGUUCCCGUCCCGCCGUGUCUGGUGGCAUAGGCAUCCGUGAGGCCGUGAGACCGUGUUUGAAGAUAAAGACAGGCUGGGAUGCCCUUCAGUGAGGGAGGUUCAGCCUCACCACCACAAUAAAGAGGGGGGGGAGGGAAGGAAGGAGGGGAGGGCCUAGUUCUGGGGCUGUGAGAGGGCCAAUACUCUGAGACAAAGUGGUGGAGAAGGAAGCUGAUCUCGAGGCUGGCGUGGUCGGAGGGAGAGCAGCUCACACCUGUGACUCUUUUGCUUCGCUGAGAGUACGGCACAUCUUGAGAACUGUUAUCAUCCCAAUUCUUUAAAGGAGCUAUUUUCAUUUCUUUAAAUUAUGUGGAUGGCUGUAGGUUCAUGUGCGGGUUUUUGCAGGCAGUGCAAGCACCCACAGAGGCCAGGGGUGCUGGAUCCCCUGGGGCUGGAGCCAUAAGCAGCCAUCCAUCCGAUGUGGGUGCUGGGAAUCUAACUUGAGUUUUCUGCAAGAACAAUAGAUGCUCUGAUUGCUGGGCUCUCUCUCCCGCUGGUCAUAGCAUGUUUCGUUACCUCAGCUUCAGGCAGCUGGGUACCAGGGUAGUUCAUUAGCCUUGAAAACUAACCAAUUCUGAUAUACGGGCUGUGAGCCUUUGAUAUCUGUCUGGAGGUGACUGAGUCAUGUUGCCCCUGUGAGUCUUAGCGAUUGUUCUAAGCUUGGCUUCUGAAGGUGUGAGGUCUGGUGUGCAGCUAACCUUUUCUUUGUGAUUUUUUUCUACAGCCUGAGAAGGAGCACCACACAGGAAAGGGUUGGUGCAUUUCAACUAGUUCUACAUCUUGUUGUUAAGACACGGGGCAAGAUGCCCAGCAAAACAAGAUUUUGCCUGUAAAUUGAAAAGAAGAAUGUCGGGAGGAAAUUCCAGGAGCUUAAGCGGCAGUGCACACGUGUGUGUUGUGGAGUAGACGGAAUCAGUAUUCUGUAAUACAGAAGGGAGCAGUGUGGUGAGACAAAAGGCCAGCCAUAAAUGGGUGUGCCCCACAGUGGCCAAAUAAAGGUGUUUAGGAAUGGAGGUGGCAGUCGGUGAGCCCCUGAAAUGUCUGAAGCUGGGACAGUGUGGAGAAAUCACAUGGAUUCCCGACACACUGGAGGUUGUGGAGAAGCAGUGCAGCGAACACCUUCUGUUCCACAGAUAGCUUCUCAUCCUAAUGUGAUUGAUUUCCCCGUUUUCUCCAGGGAUUAUUUGAAGUGGACAGCAAAAGAAAUCCAGGCCAUCAACACCUUUGGUGAAAAGAAAUACUAGGACUUCGGUCUUGGGCCCAGGCCCACUGCUGACAGCAUGAUGGAAGGAUGCACUUGCGGUCUAGACUCCCCCUCCCGCCUCCUGGAGUGGGGGUGAGGCGGCGUGGGCAACGGUUGGGAAGCUGUCUGGAGGCCUCUUGCAGAGACAUCAGAAUGCUUUGUUAGAACAAGCGCUGGGGAUCCAUCCUGUGGCUCACCCUAUCAAGCUGAAACCGGAUGUUGCUGCCAAGUUCUUUGGAAGGCUAAACAUUGUUGCCCUUGAACAUCUGCGUCUGCAAAAAGUUCUAGAUGUCAACCUUGUGACUAUACUAAUAAAAUCCUUGAAAGGUGAACAGAGGACAAACUGUACCAAGCCUCUGGUCCAAUGGCAUCCUGGAGUGGAGGGGGCUGCUCUGUGCGUCCUGGAGGUCUCACCCUAACAUGCGUCAGGGCAGAGGAAGUCUUGAGAACCUUGUGGACUUAUCUGUGGCAUCUUGAGGGUCAUACAGGACGCCGGACACCGGACACUUAUAAAAACUUACAAGUGUUAGCAAAUGUUCUGGGUCAUUCAGAGACUCACCAGUAUAUUAAUAAAUUUUAACAGAGAAGAGGCUUUUCAUUCAAACACCGGUACCGUUCUACACUGGAGAACAGAGACUCAGGAUUCCAGAAUGCAGCCCCCAGCCACUUCAGUGAGGGGUUUGUAAAGGCAAAGAAUACAAAGUUACAGUUUGCUCUGGUUCAGCAAAAACAGUCCUCUUUACAGAACCAGAAACAGCCAUAAAAAAUGUAACCUUAACAGCUCUUAAUGUUUGGAGGUCUAGAUGGGCUUUAUGGUUCUGUUAAGCACAGAGAUGUUAAGUUUUUAAACAUAAAGUUAGCCAUUGAUGUGACUUUAGCCACCGUUGAGUUAUACCCUGAGUCAAAUCCUUGACUCUGCAUUGGGUACCUUUUCAUAUUGGGACUUAUUUACUAUCAUCUUAAUAGCUCAUAAGCAGGAUUUAUAGAUCUGGUCUUAACCUUGGCCUUAGUUAGUGUUAAUGAUGCAGGGUCAACUAUAAUCAGCAGGCACCCAAGGAAGAACAUGGGAGCCAUUUAUUUCCUCUCUGUGAGGUGUUUUCAAAGUUCAGCCAAAUUAUCCUUGAUACUCCUGAGUGGUUUGCCUAGAAGCAGAUGGCUACAGUAACCUCCUUGCCCUGUGUAAAGCAGAUCAAGUCCCUACCAUGUUGGAAGACUACCUCAGCCAAGAGUCAAGGUGUUCUUUUAAUUUUGCAAUGGACUUUUCUCAGGCAAAAAACAUCUGGGUUAUUUGAGGCCCUAAGUUUUUGUAGUUGACAUUAGUUGUGCUGUGCCUGUUGUCCUGAGCGUGGCUCAAGCCAUUCCCAAUCCUAAAUUUACUAUGGGGGAUGUAAGGGCCGGUGCCUGUGCAUACAUGUGUUUUCUCCCUACUGGACCAUUAUAAAGGCACAUGCAGGGAACAGGGUUAUCAAGACACAGAUUUUCAGGGAUUAGUGCACCUGCCAAAUAGGUAAGCAAGGUGCCAAGGGUUAGCACAUGUGAAACAAUGUUUCAACUGGGAGGUGAAGGAAGGAACAUUCACCUGAAGAAGUGAUGGCUGGGAACUGUGAGACAUCUGUGACAAGUUUGUAUCUGCUCUUAAGGGGGAUAUAGAAAUACAUCCCACAAAAGAGCAGGAGUUAAAUAUAGUCACAUAAAACAGUAGUAGUCUAUAAUUGUGUCCAGUUUAUCUUUGGUGGAUCCUCUCGGGCAUUGUGACAGUUCAUUUUUCUGCAGCCAGGUCAUUGUGGCCUGUGUUGUGCUUGACCUGCCAAUAAUAUACCCAGCUGUAGAUAGAUGCCAUCUUCCUUAGCAGCCAUGGGGGUGGUCAGGAUGACAAAGCAUGAUCCCUUCCAACAAGGUCCCAGAUCCUUCAGACCUAACAUGCCAGCUUUUUGUUAAGGGGGGAUGUGCUUACUUCUGUAACUGCUUCUCACUGAGAUUAAGACACCCUCGUAAGAACCCAUGAAGGCUGGAAAGCCAAAGGCCCAGGGGUGGGGCUCAGAUUGGGGGGCUGGAGGCAUUCACCAUAAGCAUCUGUUUUGCUGAUCCAGCUGAAGAGACAAGGAGCAAUUGUAUUGGCUGGUCUGAUUAUAGGGUUGCACAUCUGUGAUCUUAGCAUUCUGGAGGCAGAGGCAGGAGGAUCUCCAUUUGGAGGACAUCCUGGGCUAUAUAGACUCUCAUGCAUCUAUAAAGAAACUUUUGUUGUUCCUGUCUUGGGGCUGAAUUAAAGCCACUGAGUACAAACCCCGCUGUUGUACUGUGGCUGCACCUGAGGAAGUCCUCUUGAAUCUUAACGUUAACAUAUUAAAUACCCAAACCUUAUAUUAUGACCAAGUGAUAAGAGGGAGGAGAGGGGUUGGGGAUUUAGCUCAGUGGUAGAGCACUUGCCUAGCAAACGCAAGGCCCUGGGUUC
rnacentral:sRNA from 1 species